rnacentral:rRNA from 1 species
UACGGGGGAUGCAAGCGUUAUCCGGAUUUAUUGGGUUUAAAGGGUGCGUAGGCUGUGAGGUAAGUCAGCGGUGAAAUGCCCCCGCUCAACGGGGUGAAGUGCCAUUGAUACUGCCUUGCUGGAAUGCGGAUGCCGUGGGAGGAAUGUGUGGUGUAGCGGUGAAAUGCAUAGAUAUCACACAGAACACCGAUUGCGAAGGCAUCUCACGAAUCCGCUAUUGACGCUGGUGCACGAAAGCGUGGGUAUCAAACAGG